rnacentral:lncRNA from 1 species
AUAAAAAAUGAAGAAGGUAGAAAACUGUAAGAACUUUCAGAGCAAGUCAGAGACUGCCAAAGGAAGAACAGAACUUCCUCUGUGAUAUAGGAAAAGCUUUCCAUGGAAAAGGCUCAAGUGGGAAAUGUAAUAACAACACAUUCCCUGAGGAAAUCUGCCACCUUAGACUGUGUGCCUGAUGGAGACCAAGCAUAGAUUCAUUUAGAUAUCUUAUUUAAACAUCCCUCUGGAGGAAUAACAAAACAAAACAACAACAAAAAAACCAACCACCCAAGCCACAGCGAGACCCUGGAAGUCAGAAGUAAUUGAGUGGAUGAGCUGCAACUGUGCUGCUUCUAGGCCAAGGAAAAAGGCAAGUACAAUGGGCUGAUUUUUAUCUGAAAUAUCACAUUUGCAGUUAAAUUUGAUUGCAAGCAUACACAAUCAGACUUCUUAUUCUUGUAGCUAAAGUAGCUCUUAUUUCACUUCUAAGUUAAAACAAGGUCAUUAUCAUCUUA